GAUAAGAACGCAGCGAAAUGCGAUAAGUAAUGUGAAUUGCAGAAUUCAGUGAAUCAUCGAAUCUUUGAACGCACAUUGCGCCCGCCAGUAUUCUGGCGGGCAUGCCUGUUCGAGCGUCAUUUCAACCAUCAAGCCCCCCGGCUUGUGUUGGGGACCUGCGGCUGCCGCAGGCCCUGAAAAGCAGUGGCGGGCUCGCUGUCACACCGAGCGUAGUAGAUCUCAUCUCGCUCAGGGCGUGCUGCGGGUUCCGGCCGUUAAACCACCUUCAUAACCCAAGGUUGACCUCGGAUCAGGUAGGAAGACCCGCUGAACUUAAGCAUAUCAAUAAGCGGAGGA
rnacentral:misc_RNA from 1 species